rnacentral:rRNA from 1 species
ACAGGGAUUGCCCUAGUAACGGCGAGUGAAGCGGCAACAGCUCAAAUUUGAAAUCUGGCUCUUUCAGAGUCCGAGUUGUAAUUUGCAGAGGGCGCUUUGGCUUUGGCAGCGGUCCAAGUUCCUUGGAACAGGACGUCACAGAGGGUGAGAAUCCCGUACGUGGUCGCUAGCUAUUGCCGUGUAAAGCCCCUUCGACGAGUCGAGUUGUUUGGGAAUGCAGCUCUAAAUGGGAGGUAAAUUUCUUCUAAAGCUAAAUAUUGGCCAGAGACCGAUAGCGCACAAGUAGAGUGAUCGAAAGAUGAAAAGCACUUUGGAAAGAGAGUCAAACAGCACGUGAAAUUGUUGAAAGGGAAGCGCUUGCAGCCAGACUUGCUUGCAGUUGCUCAUCCGGGCUUUUGCCCGGUGCACUCUUCUGCAGGCAGGCCAGCAUCAGUUUGGGCGGUGGGAUAAAGGUCUCUGUCACGUACCUCUCUUCGGGGAGGCCUUAUAGGGGAGGCGACAUACCACCAGCCUGGACUGAGGUCCGCGCAUCUGCUAGGAUGCUGGCGUAAUGGCUGUAAGCGGCCCGUCUUGAAACACGGACCAAGGAGUCUAACAUCUAUGCGAGUGUUUGGGUGUCAAGCCCGAGCGCGUAAUGAAAGUGAACGGAGGUGGGAACCCGCAAGGGCGCACCAUCGACCGAUCCUGAAGUUUACGGAAGGAUUUGAGUAAGAGCAUGGCUGUUGGGACCCGAAAGAUGGUGAACUAUGCUUGAAUAGGGUGAAGCCAGAGGAAACUCUGGUGGAGGCUCGCAGCGGUUCUGACGUGCAAAUCGAUCGUCAAAUUUGGGCAUAGGGGCGAAAGACUAAUCGAAC